ACACUCCCCUAGGAAAUGACUCGAUUUUUUUCCCAUAAGCCUUAAAUCUACUAGCCCAUAUUUUAAAGUUAAAGUAUUCUCAAAUACCGUGGAAAGCUUGCAGUCUUCAGAUUUUUCAUCAGCCUCUUAAAUAAUUACUGUAGUAGCUGGGGUUUGCCCAUUUUCAUAGUUCAAAUACAUAUACAAGGUAUUUAUCUGCUUGUUUAAAAUUGCAACAGGAAAAACAGAGCAUCUAAGUCAUUUCAUUUUAACUAUAUGUAACUAUGCUGAGACCACUUACUAUUUUUUUAAUAUCUCUUUUAUAAGGUUUUAAUGCUUUGCUACUGCUGAAGUAUCCCUAGUUGUCCCAGGAAAAGUGUGAAAAUAGCAUCUGCCCAUGUGGGCUUUCCACAUGCAUUCAGAAGUCCCUGAGAGCUGCUUGUUUAUCCUUCGUGGCCACCUGGGUGCAGACUCAAAUCUCAUCAGCACCCAAGCCAGUUUACUGGUCUUAAUCUUAAAUUCCUGGUGGACAGUUGUCCUUGCAGAAAGAUACUGUGCAACACAUUUGAUGAUAUCUGGAUAGGAGACAUCUGAGAUUAGUGAAUCUGAGGCACGAAUUUCUCUUCCACCAAGACCUCAUGCGAUCUAUCUGUAUCUACCUCUCUUAAUCUCCCAGUCUCACAUCUAUCUCUCUGUACCAGAUGCUGGCUUAGUCCUAUUGUAAAUGGGGCACUGAACUGUACACCCACCAAAUGGAUCAAAUAAAAUGCCUGUAUCACACCAGAUGACAAUUUGGAAGGACUGUCAGUGAAUUUAUCCCCACCAUGACCUGCUGGUAUCAAGUCCCAAAUCAGGCUGUGGCCCGGAAAUACAGUAAAUCUAACUUCACAUCUUCUAGUGAUGGAUAAAAAAUGCUAUGCAACUUCAAUAUGAAGUUAUUCUGUCGGUAGAAAAUUAGGACAUCAUGAAAUACUAACAAGUUUGAAUGGUCGGGAUUUAUACCAGCUUAGGUAUUUUCUCUUCAGCUGCAGUCAGUAUUGCAAUCUGUAUUCCACAGAGGGAUGGUGAAGGAUUCACGGCAGGUCGCGUUGUCACCGAUGUGAUAUGUGGCUGCAUAGAGCUCUCAGUAACUGCAGAUGACAAAAGUCACAUAUAGCAAGCAAAGGCACACAAGAAAGCAUGCAGGGAUUUUGGGAAGAGGAGGCCAUGAUCUUCCCACCUUUCACCAUGCAAAGUCACAGAAGUGCUUUGCAGAAGUUUGGAUACGAGUCCUGUGCUGCAAAACCAGCUGCCUUCAGCACCGAUGUUCCUGUGCUAGCUUCACCCUACCACUAGCGAGCGUUCUGAAGUCAAGCACGCUGCCAGAAGCAGCAGCACCCAUUGACAUUCACUGACCCUUGCUGAAGGUUUAUGGAGACCAAACAGUGGAUGUGAGCACGGUGAGGAGGUGGGUGGCGCUUUGCUGAAGCAGUGACAGCAAUGUGAAAGGCAUGCCAUGUUCCAUCUUCCAGAUGUGCAGAUUUUUACGAGUGCAGCAUGCAGGCUCUUGCUCAUCUCUGGCAAAAAUUCAUAGUUAAUGGUGGUGAUUAUGUUGAGAAAAAGUGUUUAGUAGAUGAGAAUUUGCUCUAUCAAAUAGCAUUAUUGUGCUCUCUGUAUCUGUUGUAGUUUUCAUGGAAAUACAUAGGAGGCAUCAUUUUCAGAGCAACCUACUUAUAUUUGGCAACCAGAUGUUUUCCCCUUUUCAAAACAGUAGCUAGUAUGAGCAUAAAUGGGAUCUAAAUUACUUUCAUUUAGAUAUGGCUUUCUGUAUACGCUGUGUGCAGUACUGCUUGGUGCAUAAUCACAAUAAAGAUAACAUCAUGGUGUUUGCAACCAAUAAAUUUAUAUCUCAUCUUUACGAGAUGUGCUUAAAAAAUAAAAUAAAAUGAAAAUAUAACUUAAAUCUCUUUAUUUCAUUUUGGUUAUUCAGUCUGUCAAAGAUUCCUUGGUGAAGAGAAUGCUGUAAAAAUAGAAACUGCAAGGCUAAGAAGUUUUACUUCAUGGCUUCAUAGGCAGGGAAGAUACAGCAGAGGCAGAAUGGUAGCCAAUGCUCACACGGUUCUGGGAUCUUGAUUUUGAACAGAAAUAAAUAAGUACUCAUGAAAAGCCAUAGAUGUAGUGGAAUGUUAGAGUGAAGAAUUGAAAGUCUGAGGACACUGUACAAGUGAAUUUAAGAAGGCUGAUGGGUACUUUUCAUUUUUGUAGAUGAAACAGAAGAAAUUUAUAUGCAGAAAGCAUAUACAUAUAAAUAAGAUUCAUAUCAUCACUAGAUGAGAGAACCCUACUUAUCUUUCAUCAUAUACAGCUUCCUGACUACCCACACCGUGGCCCAGGCUUAAAUAAGAUCAGCUAAUGUAUGGAAAACACGAAACUAAAGAAACAAUGCUGGUAAACAGACAAGAGCUUUGUGGAGAAUUUAUAGCCAUGACAUUGUUUCCUGCCUCUAAACAUAUAUAUAUAGAUAACAUUUGGUCAGUGCAGAUCAAUGUUCAGAAGAGCUUCU